rnacentral:rRNA from 1 species
CCUACGGGAGGCUGCAGUGGGGAAUAUUGGACAAUGGGGGGAACCCUGAUCCAGCCAUGCCGCGUGUGUGAAGAAGGCCCUCGGGUUGUAAAGCACUUUCAGUGAGGAAGAACGCCUGGUGGUUAAUACCCAUCAGGAAAGACAUCACUCACAGAAGAAGCACCGGCUAACUCCGUGCCAGCAGCCGCGGUAAUACGGAGGGUGCGAGCGUUAAUCGGAAUUACUGGGCGUAAAGCGCGCGUAGGUGGCUCGAUAAGCCGGUUGUGAAAGCCCCGGGCUCAACCUGGGAACGGCAUCCGGAACUGUCAAGCUAGAGUGCAGGAGAGGAAGGUAGAAUUCCCGGUGUAGCGGUGAAAUGCGUAGAGAUCGGGAGGAAUACCAGUGGCGAAGGCGGCCUUCUGGACUGACACUGACACUGAGGUGCGAAAGCGUGGGUAGCAAACAGGAUUAGAUACCCUUGUAGUC